rnacentral:rRNA from 1 species
UACGUAGGGUGCAAGCGUUAAUCGGAAUUACUGGGCGUAAAGCGUGCGCAGGCGGUUUUGUAAGACAGAGGUGAAAUCCCCGGGCUCAACCUGGGAACUGCCUUUGUGACUGCAAGGCUGGAGUGCGGCAGAGGGGGAUGGAAUUCCGCGUGUAGCAGUGAAAUGCGUAGAUAUGCGGAGGAACACCGAUGGCGAAGGCAAUCCCCUGGGCCUGCACUGACGCUCAUGCACGAAAGCGUGGGGAGCAAACAGGAUUAGAAACCCUAGUAGUCC